rnacentral:rRNA from 1 species
GAUGAACGCUGGCGGCGUGCCUAAUACAUGCAAGUCGAGCGAACGGACGAGAAGCUUGCUUUUCUGAUGUUAGCGGCGGACGGGUGAGUAACACGUGGAUAACCUACCUAUAAGACUGGGAUAACUUCGGGAAGCCGGAGCUAAUACCGGAUAAUAUUUUGAACCGCAUGGUUCAAAAGUGAAAGACGGUCUUGCUGUCACUUAUAGAUGGAUCCGCGCUGCAUUAGCUAGUUGGUAAGGUAACGGCUUACCAAGGCAACGAUGCAUAGCCGACCUGAGAGGGUGAUCGGCCACACUGGAACUGAGACACGGUCCAGACUCCUACGGGAGGCAGCAGUAGGGAAUCUUCCGCAAUGGGCGAAAGCCUGACGAAGCAACGCCGCGUGAGUGAUGAAGGUCUUCGGAUCGUAAAACUCUGUUAUUAGGGAAGAACAUAUGUGUAAGUAACUGUGCACAUCUUGACGGUACCUAAUCAGAAAGCCACGGCUAACUACGUG